GACGUAGGGCGCGAGCGUUGUCCGGAUUUAUUGGGCGUAAAGAGCUCGUAGGCGGCUUGUCGCGUCGACCGUGAAAACUUGGGGCUCAACCCCAAGCCUGCGGUCGAUACGGGCAGGCUCGAGUUCGGUAGGGGAGACUGGAAUUCCUGGUGUAGCGGUGAAAUGCGCAGAUAUCAGGAGGAACACCGGUGGCGAAGGCGGGUCUCUGGGCUGAUACUGACGCUGAGGAGCGAAAGCGUGGGGAGCGAACAGG
rnacentral:rRNA from 1 species